GAUGAAGAACGCAGCGAAAUGCGAUAAGUAAUGUGAAUUGCAGAAUUCAGUGAAUCAUCGAAUCUUUGAACGCACAUUUCGCCCGCCAUUAUUCUGGCGGGCAUGCCUGUUCGAGCGUCAUUUCAACCAUCAAGCCCCCGGCUUGUGUUGGGGACCUGCGGCUGCCGCAGGCCCUGAAAUGCAGUGGCGGGCUCGCUGUCACUCCGAGCGUAGUAGUUACAUCUCGCUCUGGGCGUGCUGCGGGUUCCGGCCGUUAAAAGCCUUAUUUACCAAAGGUUGACCUCGGAUCAGGUAGGAAGACCCGCUGAACUUAAGCAUAUCAAUAAGCGGAGGA
rnacentral:misc_RNA from 1 species